UUUUUUGUUACUUUUACCUCGCUUUUUCUUCUGUUGUCCCAUCUUAAAUCACAUGAAAAA
rnacentral:sRNA from 1 species